GCCGAUGUAGCUCAGUUGGUAGAGCGCUUGAUUCGUAAUCAAAAGGUCGGCGGUUCAAAUCCGCCCAUCGGCU
rnacentral:tRNA from 1 species